AUUGAACGCUGGCGGCAGGCCUAACACAUGCAAGUCGAGCGGAUGAAGGGAGCUUGCUCCUGGAUUCAGCGGCGGACGGGUGAGUAAUGCCUAGGAAUCUGCCUGGUAGUGGGGGAUAACGUCGGGAAACGGGCGCUAAUACCGCAUACGUCCUGGGGGGGAAAGGGGGGGAUCUUCGGACCUCCCGCUAUCAAAUGAGCCUAGGUCGGAUUAGCUAGUUGGUGGGGUAAAGGCCUACCAAGGCGACGAUCCGUAACUGGUCUGAGAGGAUGAUCAGUCACACUGGAACUGAGACACGGUCCAGACUCCUACGGGAGGCAGCAGUGGGGAAUAUUGGACAAUGGGCGAAAGCCUGAUCCAGCCAUGCCGCGUGUGUGAAGAAGGUCUUCGGAUUGUAAAGCACUUUAAGUUGGGAGGAAGGGCAGUAAGUUAAUACCUUGCUGUUUUGACGUUACCAACAGAAUAAGCACCGGCUAACUUCGUG
rnacentral:rRNA from 1 species